rnacentral:rRNA from 1 species
UACGUAGGGCGCAAGCGUUUAUCCGGAAUUAUUGGGCGUAAAGAGCUCGUAGGCGGUUUGUCGCGUCUGCCGUGAAAGUCCGGGGCUCAACUCCGGAUCUGCGGUGGGUACGGGCAGACUAGAGUGAUGUAGGGGAGACUGGAAUUCCUGGUGUAGCGGUGAAAUGCGCAGAUAUCAGGAGGAACACCGGUGGCGAAGGCGGGUCUCUGGGCCGAUACUGACGCUGAGGAGCGAAAGCAUGGGUAGCGAACAGG